rnacentral:rRNA from 1 species
CGGGCGGCCACCUUCGCCGGUGCCGGGCCGUUAUGCCUUGACGAGUAGGAGGGUCGCGGCGAUGAGCGCAGAAGGGUCUGGGCGUGAGCCUGCCUUGGAGCCGUCGUCGGCGCAGAUCUUGGUGGUUAGUAGCAAAUACUCCAGCGAGGACCUGAAGGACUGACGUGGAGAAGGGUUUCUUGUGAACAGCUGUUGCACAGGAGUCAGUCGAUC